rnacentral:rRNA from 1 species
UACGGAGGAUGCGAGCGUUAUCCGGAUUUAUUGGGUUUAAAGGGUGCGUAGGCGGGCUGUUAAGUCAGCGGUAAAAUUGCGGUGCUCAACGCCGUAGAGCCGUUGAAACUGGCGGCCUUGAGUGGGCGAGAAGUAUGCGGAAUGCGUGGUGUAGCGGUGAAAUGCAUAGAUAUCACGCAGAACCCCGAUUGCGAAGGCAGCAUACCGGCGCCCUACUGACGCUGAGGCACGAAAGUGCGGGUAUCGAACAGG